rnacentral:rRNA from 1 species
AUUGAACGCUGGCGGAAUGCUUUACACAUGCAAGUCGAGCGGCAGCGCGGCCUUCGGGCUGGCGGCGAGCGGCGAACGGGUGAGUAAUGCAUCGGAACAUGCCCAGUCGUGGGGGAUAACACUUCGAAAGAAGUGCUAAUACCGCAUACGUCCUGAGGGGGAAAGCGGGGGAUCGCAAGACCUCGCGCGAUUGGAGUGGCCGAUGUCAGAUUAGCUAGUUGGUGGGGUAAAGGCCUACCAAGGCGACGAUCUGUAGCUGGUCUGAGAGGAUGAUCAGCCACACUGGGACUGAGACACGGCCCAGACUCCUACGGGAGGCAGCAGUGGGGAAUUUUAGACAAUGGGGGCAACCCUGAUCCAGCCAUUCCGCGUGAGUGAAGAAGGCCUUCGGGUUGUAAAGCUCUUUCGGCAGGAACGAAACGGUGGGCUCUAACAUAGUCCGCUAAUGACGGUACCUGAAGAAGAAGCACCGGCUAACUACGUG